UCUUGGGGUGCUCACACCAUCCCCAUGUCCCCAACGUCCUCACACCAUCCCCAUGUCCGCAAGGUCUUCACACCAUCACCCAUCUUGGGGUGCUCACACCAUCCCCAUGAUCUUGGGGUGCUCAAACCAUCACGAUUCUUGCGGUGCUCACACCAUCCCCAUGUUCUUGGGGUGCUCACCCAAUCCCCAUGUCCCCAGGAUGCUCACACCAUCGCCCAUCUUGGGGUGCUCACACCGUCCCCAUGAUCUUGGGGUCUUCACACCAUUGCCCAUCUUGGGGUGCUCACAUUAUCCCCAUGUUCUUGGGGUGCUCACAUCACCCUCAUGUCCCCAGGAUGCUCACAGCAUCACCCAUCUUGGGGUGCUCAUACCAUCCCCAUGAUCUUGGGGUGCACACACCAUCCCCAUGUCCCCAAGGUCCUCAAACCAUCACCCAUCUCGGGGUGCUCACAUCACCCCCAUGUCCCCAAAUGCUCACACAAUCCCCCAUCUUGGGGUGCUCAUACCAUCCCCAUGUCCUUGGGGUGCUCAUACCAUCACCAUUCUUGGGGUGCUCACAUCACCCCCAUGUCCCCAAGGUGCUCACCCCAUCCUGCAUCUUGGGGUACUCACACCAUCACCCAUCUCGGGGUGCUCACACCAUCCCCAUGAUCUUGGGGUGCUCACACCACCCCAAUGUCCCCAGGAUGCUCACAGCGUCACCCAUCUUGGGGUGCUCACACCAUCCCCAUGAUCUUGGGGUGCUCACAUCACCCCCAUGUCCCCGAAUGCUCACACCAUCCCCUAUCUUGGGGUGCUCACACCAUCCCCAUGUCCCCAAGGCCCUCAAACCAUCCCCCAUCUUGGGGUGCUCACAUCACCCCCAUGUCCCCAAAUGGUCACACAAUCCCCCAUCUCGGGGUGCUCACCCCAUCCCCAUGUUCUUGGGGUGCUCACAUCAUCCCCAUGUCCUUGGGGUGCUCAUACCAUCACCAUUCUUGGGGUGCUUAACCAUCCCCAUGUUCUUGGGGUGCUCACAUCACCCCCAUGUCCCCAAGGUGCUCACCCCAUCCUGCAUCUUGGGGUACUCACACCAUCACCCAUCUCGGGGUGCUCACACCAUCCCCAUGUUCUUGGGGUGCUCACACCACCCCCAUGUCCCCGAAUGCUCACCCCAUCCCCCAUCUUGGGGUGCCCACCCCAUCCCCAUGCCCCCAUUGCCCCUCCCCGGAGAAUCCAGUGAUGCCUCGUCGUGUGCUCGAACAGAAGCAGUGUUUAAUAGGAAAUAUUUAAUUGCUAUUUAAUUUGUAAUUUAAAAACCUCAUUUGUCCAUACAGCCUGUAAAUAUUUCCCCCCCUCGAAUAUAAGUAUUCCUCAUCCGAAUCCUGAUUUUUGUAAUGAAAAGAUUAUUGUUGUUAUUGUUGCUAUUAUUGUUAUUGUUAUUAUUAUUAUUAAUUAGAGCAGAGGGAAAAUAAUGCUGGGAAGCUGCUGGAGUUUGGCAUCAGAGCCUGCUGUGAUGGGGCUGUGAUGGGAUGGAGCGCCACGAUGGGAUGGAAGUGGGAUGGAGAGGAGCUCUGCAGUGGGCUGAUGCUGUACUGGGAUGGAGCUCCGUACUGGGAUGGAACUGGGAUGGAGAGGGGCUGUGCUGGGGUGGGUAUCUGUGUUGGGACUGCACUCAUGAUGGGAUGGAGCUGUGCUGAGAUGGGACAGAAAUGGGAUGGGAUGGAGCUCCAUGGUGGGAUGGAAAUGGCAUGGAGAGGAGCUCUGUAGUGGGAGUUCUGCUGUGCUGGGAUGUGAUGGAGCCAUACUGGGAUGGGAUGGAUCCAUACUGGGAUGGGAUGGAGCCAUACUGGGACGGGAUGAAGCCAUACUGGCAUGGAUCCAUAUGGGGAUGUGAUGGAUCCAUACUGGGAUGUGAUGGACCCGUACUGGGAUGGGAUGGAGCCAUACUGGGAUGGGAUGGAUCCAUACUGGGAUGGGAUGGAUCCAUUCUGGGAU
ensembl:lncRNA